GUGGGCUGGUUUGUCGCCAAUCCGGUCAGGUUCGGAAGAAAGCAGCCGUAACGAAUGUAAUCAGGGUCGUUGUUCUCCUC
rnacentral:SRP_RNA from 1 species